AUGGCGCGCUGCUCCCCGGCGAAGCCGCUUUGCACCACCGCCGCGGCCCCGCGCCCCUCUCGCCGCCGCGGUCUGCUCAUCAGCGCCUCUGCUUCCCCGGCCACGACAUCAACAAGAACGCACCGGCUGUUGGCCCUACCGAAGCCGCCUAAACCACCGCCGCCGCCGCCUCUCCUCCCGCGCCCAAGGCUCCCCAUCUCCAACGAAGCCCCCACCAACGGCAAGCCAGACGACCGCCGUGAACCAUCGACGGGCGCGGCGUCCUCUGGCUCUGGGUCGUCCUCGGGCGCCGGAGACGUGCUCCGCCUCAUGGGCUUGCUCCGCGUCGCGCCCGACGAGGACGUCUACGUCUCCCUCCUCAGGGGCUCCGUCGACGCCGCCGAGGUCGCCGCCGUGCACGCCCACGUCGCCGCACGCGCCGCGUCUGGCCUCCCCCUCCCGCUGGCCAACCGGCUGCUGCUCGCCUACGCGACCUGCGGUGACAUGUCCGCCGCCCGCAAGGUGUUCGACGAAAUUCCCGUGAAAGACGGCAUCACGUGGGCGACCAUGGUGUCCGCCUACUCUGAUGGGUGUUUCCACGACGAAGCGAUAAGGCUCUUCACCCGCAUGUGCCAAGAAGAACAGGGGCUUGCUGGUGAUCUGCUUGGCCAUGCCAUUGUGGCAGUGCUGCGGUCAUGUGCUCGGCUGAGCAGAUUAAGGGGCUUUGGUGAGCAGGUACAUGCGCUCGUCGUCAAGACAAAGAGAGUCUGCGGUGAUACUGGUAGUUCGCUGCUGCAGCUGUACAUCGCAAGUAAUCAGCAUGACAGUGCGCGGCAAGUGCUUCAGGCGAUGAGGUGUUGUUCCCAGGAGCCAGUGCCCGAGGCAGCCUGGACUAGCUUCAUGACAGCUUGCCACCGAGAUGGACUGCUGGAUGAGGCCAUCUACGUCUUCAGGGACAUGGUGUCCUCCGGAGUCGCCAGGAGCAGCUUCUCCCUGUCUACUAUCCUUGCGGUAUGUGCAGAAUCAGAGAACUGCAGGUGCUAUGGGCAGCAAGUGCAUGGUGAUGCCAUCAAGCACGGCGUGGAAACAGACCAGUUCGUUGUGUCUGGGUUGGUCCACAUGUAUGCGAAGCAAGGAAGGCUUGCAGAUGCCGCGAGGGCAUUUGAGGCAGUGGGUGGCAAGCCUGACGCGGUGUGCUGGAAUGCCAUGGCCAUGGGGUAUGCACGCGGUGGGUGGUACAGAGAGGCCACCAGAAUGAUGUACCAGAUGAAAGCUGCUGGACUGGAUCUUCCUGGACUAAAUGUGGUUGGAAUGGCCUGCUCCAGUUGA
rnacentral:rRNA from 1 species